rnacentral:rRNA from 1 species
GUGUCAGCAGCCGCGGUAAUACGAGUUGUGCAAACGUUAUUCGGAAUCACUGGGCUUAAAGGGUGCGUAGGCGGCUAUGAAAGUCAGAUGUGAAAUCCCUCGGCUCAACCGAGGAACUGCAUUUGAAACUGUAUAGCUUGAGGGAGACAGAGGUGAGCGGAACUGAUGGUGGAGCGGUGAAAUGCGUUGAUAUCAUCAGGAACACCGGUGGCGAAAGCGGCUCACUGGGUCUUAUCUGACGCUGAGGCACGAAAGCCAGGGGAGCAAACGGGAUUAGAUACCCUCGUAGUCC